GGUUCAGGAUGAACGCUAGCGACAGGCCUAACACAUGCAAGUCAGGGGCAGCACAAGGAGCAAUCUGAGGUGGCGACCGGCGCACGGGUGAGUAACACGUAUGCAACCUGCCUGUAAGCGGGGAAUAAACCCGUUGAAAGACGGACUAAUACCGCAUAAUACUAAAUUACUGCAUGGUAAUUUAUUUAAACAUUUAUGGCUUACAGAUGGGCAUGCGCAUGAUUAGCUAGUUGGAGAGGUAACGGCUCCCCAAGGCAACGAUCAUUAGGGGUUCUGAGAGGAAGGUCCCCCACACUGGUACUGAGACACGGACCAGACUCCUACGGGAGGCAGCAGUGAGGAAUAUUGGUCAAUGGACGAGAGUCUGAACCAGCCAAGUCGCGUGCAGGAAGAAUGUCCCUAUGGAUUGUAAACUGCUUUUGCAGGGGAAUAAAGUGCAUCACGUGUGAUGUUUUGUAUGUACUCUGCGAAUAAGGAUCGGCUAACUCCGUGCCAGCCGCCGC
rnacentral:rRNA from 1 species